CAGUCUGCAUGGAGCCAUCCUUGAAAUACCACCCUUUAAUGGCUGGUGUUCUAACGUGGGCCCGUGAACCGGGUUGCGGACAGUGUCUGGUGGGUAGUUUGACUGGGGCGGUCUCCUCCUAAAGAGUAACGGAGGAGCACGAAGGUUGGCUAAUCCUGGUCGGACAUCAGGAGGUUAGUGCAAUGGCAUAAGCCAGCUUGACUGCGAGCGUGACGGCGCGAGCAGGUGCGAAAGCAGGUCAUAGUGAUCCGGUGGUUCUGAAUGGAAGGGCCAUCGCUCAACGGAUAAAAGGUACUCCGGGGAUAACAGGCUGAUACCGCCCAAGAGUUCAUAUCGACGGCGGUGUUUGGCACCUCGAUGUCGGCUCAUCACAUCCUGGGGCUGAAGUAGGUCCCAAGGGUAUGGCUGUUCGCCAUUUAAAGUGGUACGCGAGCUGGGUUUAGAACGUCGUGAGACAGUUCGGUCCCUAUCUGCCGUGGGCGCUGGAAGAUUGAGGGGGGCUGCUCCUAGUACGAGAGGACCGGAGUGGACGCAUCACUGGUGUUCGGGUUGUCAUGCCAAUGGCACUGCCCGGUAGCUACAUGCGGAAGAGAUAAGUGCUGAAAGCAUCUAAGCACGAAACUUGCCCCGAGAUGAAUCUUCCCUGAGCCUUUAAGGCUCCUGAAGGAACGUUGAAGACGACGACGUUGAUAGGCCGGGUGUGUAAGCGCAGCGAUGCGUUGAGCUAACCGGUACUAAUGAACCGUGAGGCUUAACCUU
rnacentral:rRNA from 1 species